GACGGACGCUGGCGGCGUGCCUAAUACAUGCAAGUUGAGCGCUGAAGGUUGGUACUUGUACCAACUGGAUGAGCAGCGAACGGGUGAGUAACGCGUGGGGAAUCUGCCUUUGAGCGGGGGACAACAUUUGGAAACGAAUGCUAAUACCGCAUAAAAACUUUAAACACAAGUUUUAAGUUUGAAAGAUGCAAUUUCAUCACUCAAAGAUGAUCCCGCGUUGUAUUAGCUAGUUGGUGAGGUAAAGGCUCACCAAGGCGACGAUACAUAGCCGAUCUGAGAGGAUGACAAGGCACAAGGGGCCGGAGAAACGGCCAGGACUCGUAGGGGAGGAAGCAGGGGGGAAGAUAGGGCAAUGGGAGAAAGCAUGAUCCAGCAGUGCCGCGUGAGUGAUGAGGGCCUUAGGGUUGUAAAGCGCGGUUACCCGGGAUGAGAAUGACAGUACCGGGAGAAUAAGCUACGGCUAACUCCGUG
rnacentral:rRNA from 1 species